rnacentral:tmRNA from 1 species
GGGGGUGAUCGGUUUCGACGGUGAACGUCGAGCCAGGUGAAGCGGGUCGAGGACGCGAUGUCGUCUCGUUAACGCUCGUCGCAAGCAAUAGGUGCCAAAUCCAAUCGCACCGACUUCGCUCUCGCCGCUUAAGCGCCGAGCAGUGAGUCCGUCAGCCCGGGAGUGCUUCCGGCCCGGAUACUGGCGUCAUUGAGGAAGCUACCGCCCAUAUGCCCCUGUCACCGGGGCCGUGGGUGUAUCUAGGUGACUGAGCCCGGCGGCGGCAUGCUUGCGUGACUGCCGGGGCUGAGAAAACCGCAGCAAGCUGCACCCGGAGAAGCCCUGGUUCCCGCCCACCGGACGCGGGUUCGAUUCCCGCCACCUCCACCA